GGAGAACACAAGAAGAAAAGGUAAAAAGGAGAAAAAAAUGAAUGUACAGAGAAGAGAUAAGGUAUACUUUUACAACUUAUAUUUACUUUGCAGUUAAUAGUGUAAUCAAUCAUGGGAACAAAGGAAAAAGAUUACAAGGGAAGACUAGAAACCAAAAAUUGUGCAACAGUUGGACUAAACUCUUGAAACUCACAACCAGAAUACUGAUGGAGGUGGUACAAUGGCAUAGCCUUAUUCUGUUUAUAGCAGUUACAACCUCACUUCAGGAGGGCUUCCUGUAAUAUGCGGGAACAGUAGCAGG
rnacentral:misc_RNA from 1 species